AAAAGAUCAAUAAACAAGAUAAGCCCCCUAAAGGAUUUUUUCUCUUUGGGAUAGUGAAGACUCUCCGAAACCUACACCAGCACCUCGCAAUAAAGGAUCUUAGUCUUCGAUCGGAUGAAGGUACUCUUAGUUAAGUAAAAUAUCCCAAAAAAACAAGUACUGCAUAUUCGUUGGGAUUUUGCCCCUAUUCCUUUCACUACAUUCAGUCUAGUUUAUAAAAAGGAUUGAUUGCAUCCGUACCGAAUUCCACUCAAUCGAGUCUAUAGCUGCGGAUCUGGACAGCUGAGAAGAGAUCGCCUUGAGACAAAAAAAAGGUUCGUUCAUAGUAGGAUGAUUGAUUCUAUGGCUAGCAGAAGAAGUCAAAGCCUCCCAAAAGGGAAAAUCAAAGGUGGAAAGCCGAUCAGGUAGAAGGUUUUUCCUAACUCAAAGCCGGUGAAACUACUGCUUAUGUUGGCAAUCCCUCAUUCUCAUUUAGAAUCCCCUUUCCUUUUCAAAUAUAUAUAUAUAUUCAUUCUUUAGGGGACCUUGAGUAUGAUUCCUGACUGAUUCAAUCAAUCAAUCGGACUUUCGGGGAUAGUUUCAUGAUCUAUGACAUCAACUUUGGAAGCAAUAUCAGACUUCAACCGCUGGUUCGUUUGCACCAAUCGAUUAAGCCACUGGGGGUGAUUUCUCCUGCAUCCCCAUUUCCUCGAUGCAAACCAUACAUAGAGGGAAAGCGAAUCCAAAGCUUGAACAUCUAAUAGAAAGGCUUAAGGCUUAACUGCUAAGAAAAUCCUGACACAAGCACAAAAGCAUUCACCGUUAGCCGAAUAAGAAACUCCGAAAUGGCGAUAGACCUCUAAGCUCAUACACUCGCUCUCCUAGAAUUCGAAUUACGUGCUAGAUGGAUUAGGGAUUCAUGAACAUAGGUAAUAGCCUACAUGGAAGGCUUGGAACCGCAUUCACAUAGAGAUAAAAAGACUGAUUACAUAAAGAAUUACUAAACAGAAUGAAAAGAAUCACGAAGGUAGGAACCAAUGACUAGGAUAAUGAAAGGAAUUGAGCCAUAAAGCAGUUGGACUCACUCCCGAAAAAGGAAUUAGCCCUUUUCUUUNNNN
rnacentral:lncRNA from 1 species